ACUAACGCCAAACCUAAUUAAGCGAUACUUAUUUAUGAACAAUGCAACAUUUUUCUGUGUCUUUUAUUUGAUGUAAUGUUUUAUGAAUCAAGUAUUUCACUUGACUGGAUGGUCUUGAAUUCCGCCACUGCAAAAGGACUGGUUUUGACUGGAUAUUACCUGGAGGCGUUGCAGCUGCCUGGACGUGUUGCACCGAGCCGAAGGCUAAGGGAGACAACAGGAUAUCUUAGGCUUUGACAAUCCUUCUGCCUUGGAUCUGCAACAACAAAGCAGCUGAGGGAAAAUGUCAUCCUCCCAUCAUCCCUGACGGCCCUGCAUGAAUGAAUAAUUUCUCUUCUUCGACUCAGAUGGCGGGUUUACCUGCGUUCGUGGCUGUCUGGUGCAUGCUGGAGCAUCG